rnacentral:rRNA from 1 species
AUGGAUUAGCGGCGAACGGGUGAGGAACACGUGAAGAAUCUGCCCUCCACUUUGGGAUAACACCGGGAAACCGGUGCUAAUACCGAAUAUUGAAACAUAAGUGGCAUCACUGAGUUUUGAAAGAAUUUCGGUGGAGGAUGACUUCGCGGCCUAUCAGCUAGUUGGUGAGGUAAUGGCUCACCAAGGCAACGACGGGUAGCCGGCCUGAGAGGGCGACCGGCCACACUGGGACUGAGACACGGCCCAGACUCUUACGGGAGGCAGCAGUGGGGAAUAUUGGGCAAUGGAGGAAACUCUGACCCAGCGACGCCGCGUGCGGGAUGAAGGCCUUCGGGUUGUAAACCGCUUUCAGUAGGGAAGAAGCGAAAGUGACGGUACCUACAAAAGAAGCACCGGCUAACUAUGUGCCAGCAGCCGCGGUAAUACAUAGGGUGCAAGCGUUGUCCGGAAUUAUUGGGCGUAAAGAGCUCGUAGGUCGUUUGUUACGUCGGAUGUGAAAACCUG